UACCCGUCUUGUGAGAAUGAGCUGUACCCAAAGUCUGAUGCCAAGAUUUGAAUUUUUGACCUGGGGCAGAAGAAAGCAAAAAUGGAUCAGUUCCCACUCUGUGGCCAUAUGGUAUCAGGUGAAUAUGAACAGCUCUCUUCCGAAGCCCUGGAGGCUGCUCAUAUUUGUGCCAACAAGUAUGUGGUAAAAAACUGUGGAUGAGGUAGCUUUCAUAUCCAAGUGUGGCUUCACCCCUUCCAUGUCAUCCACAUCAACAAGAUGUUGCCCUGUGCGGGGCUGACAGGCUCUAGACAGAUAUGGCCAAUGUCUUUGGAAAAACCAAGGGCACUGUGGCCAGGGCUUGCAUUGGUUGAGUCAUCGUGUCCAUCAGUACCAAAUUGCAGAACAAGGAGCACAUAAUUAAGGCCCUAUUCAGGGCCAAGUUCAAGCUCCCUGACCACCAAAAGAUUCAUGUCUCAAAGAAGCAGGGCUUUACCAAGUUUAAUGCAGAUGAAUUUGAAGAGAAGCGGCUCAUCCCAGAGGGCUGUGGGGUCAAAUACAUCCCCAACUGUGGCCCCCUGGACAAGUGGAGGGCCCUGCACUCAUGAGGGCUUCCCCUGUGCUGCCCCCUCAUUUGUGCCUACCAAUAAAAUCUGCUUCCUAUCCAC